rnacentral:rRNA from 1 species
GACGAACGCUGGCGGCGUGCUUAACACAUGCAAGUCGAACGGAAAGGCCCUGCUUUUGUGGGGUGCUCGGGUGGCGAACGGGUGAGUAACACGUGAGUAACCUGCCCUUGACUUUGGGAUAACUUCAGGAAACUGGGGCUAAUACCGGAUAGGAGCUCCUGCUGCAUGGUGGGGGUUGGAAAGUUUCGGCGGUUGGGGAUGGACUCGCGGCUUAUCAGCUUGUUGGUGGGGUAGUGGCUUACCAAGGCUUUGACGGGUAGCCGGCCUGAGAGGGUGACCGGCCACAUUGGGACUGAGAUACGGACCAGACUCCUACGGGAGGCAGCAGUGGGGAAUAUUGCACAAUGGGCGGAAGCCUGAUGCAGCAACGCCGCGUGCGGGAUGACGGCCUUCGGGUUGUAAACCGCUUUCGCCUGUGACGAAGCGUGAGUGACGGUAAUGGGUAAAGAAGCACCGGCUAACUACGUG